rnacentral:rRNA from 1 species
AGAGUUUGAUCCUGGCUCAGAUUGAACGCUGGCGGCAGGCCUAACACAUGCAAGUCGAACGGUAACAUUUCUAGCUUGCUAGAAGAUGACGAGUGGCGGACGGGUGAGUAAUGCUUGGGAACUUGCCUUUGCGAGGGGGAUAACAGUUGGAAACGACUGCUAAUACCGCAUAAUGUCUUCGGACCAAACGGGGCUUCGGCUCCGGCGCAAAGAGAGGCCCAAGUGAGAUUAGCUAGUUGGUAAGGUAACGGCUUACCAAGGCGACGAUCUCUAGCUGUUCUGAGAGGAAGAUCAGCCACACUGGGACUGAGACACGGCCCAGACUCCUACGGGAGGCAGCAGUGGGGAAUAUUGCACAAUGGGGGAAACCCUGAUGCAGCCAUGCCGCGUGUGUGAAGAAGGCCUUCGGGUUGUAAAGCACUUUCAGUUGUGAGGAAAAGUUAGUAGUUAAUACCUGCUAGCCGUGACGUUAACAACAGAAGAAGCACCGGCUAACUCCGUGCCAGCAGCCGCGGUAAUACGGAGGGUGCGAGCGUUAAUCGGAAUUACUGGGCGUAAAGCGCACGCAGGCGGUUUGUUAAGCUAGAUGUGAAAGCCCCGGGCUCAACCUGGGAUGGUCAUUUAGAACUGGCAGACUAGAGUCUUGGAGAGGGGAGUGGAAUUCCAGGUGUAGCGGUGAAAUGCGUAGAUAUCUGGAGGAACAUCAGUGGCG